rnacentral:tRNA from 1 species
UCCCUGGUGGCUCAGAUGGUAAAGCAUCUGCCUACAAUGCGGGAGACCUGGGUUCGAUUCCUGGGUCGGGAA